UACGUAGGGUGCAAGCGUUGUCCGGAAUUAUUGGGCGUAAAGAGCUCGUAGGCGGCUUGUCACGUCGACUGUGAAAACCCGGGGCUCAACUCCGGGCCUGCAGUCGAUACGGGCUGGCUUGAGUGCGGUAGGGGGAGACUGGAAUUCCUGGUGUAGCGGUGAAAUGCGCAGAUAUCAGGAGGAACACCGAUGGCGAAGGCAGGUCACUGGGCCGCAACUGACGCUGAGGAGCGAAAGCAUGGGGAGCGAACAGG
rnacentral:rRNA from 1 species